GUCUAGCAAAGUGUAGGUGGUCACUAAAUACAGUAAAACCUUGGAUUGUGAGUAACUUGUUCUGCAAUUUUUCUGCAAGACAAGCAAACAUUUCUAAUAAAUUUUAACUUGAUAAACAAGUGAUGUCUUGCAAUGUGAGUAGUACAUGAUGCCGAAUAUCACAUGAUCACAACUGAGCCAAUGGUUCUUCUCUCUCGCUGUGGGAUUGUGGGUGGUUGUCUCCUAUGCUCAGAUGCUUGGUCUCAGGCUACAGUGUUUGGCAGAAAUCAGUAGUUUUUCAGAACGUUGGAAGACACACACACUUGGCACUAGGUUAUUGUUUGUCACUUCAAAACACCUAUGGACAGUCUUUUGCUUUUCCAUAAGAGAGUAAGCUUAGGAAUGCUUUGCUUCAUUCUAGGUCAGGCUGCUGGCAGAUACAAACCCUUUUCUCUGCUGCUUUAUGGACAGUUAAGUACAGUAUAUGACAAGAGUUUAUUAAUACUGUACUGUAGUCAACAUCUGUUAGUGAUAGUGAAAGUCGUCCUACACAGUAACCCUCCUCUCUUAUCUCCCUCACACCAGCCAUGAAGGUUUUCAAGGCACUGUUACUGGAGAGCUUUCCACCACUCUGGUUGAUGCCAAAGAUACAUUUCACUAAAAUUGUAAUUACAACUCUGUACCUUUGCCCGGUAAAAUGGAAAACAUAGAAAAUAUGCGGAGUUUCAACAUCCACUGUAGAGAGAACGUUCUGGCUGAGAGAGGAGUACAACUGCACAAGGUAGGUAACAAUGUUUUUGGCGUUUUUCUCAGCUCUACAUACUGCUUCAACAGAGAAAAAAAGCUAGAACUGGAAAAAGGAGGCAGGAAGGAGAGGUACAAGGAGUCUGAGUUAGGACAGGGGAGUGUAUUCAGUGAAACUGAAGUCUUAAAUUUGAGUAGAAUCAGAACCUUACAGAUUCUGGCUUAG
rnacentral:lncRNA from 1 species